rnacentral:lncRNA from 1 species
AUUAGAUAUCUAUGUAGUCUAUAAAAUACUUUAAAAAUAUUCUGGAUGAAAGGUGUCAGAAAAGUGUAAGGUGAUAUAUACGUUUUACAUAAAUAAUAUUUUCAUUCCUUAACAUGAACUUACCACAGUUUUAACUGCUGUUGGUAUGCAAGUUCAGAGUGUCCCAGGUACUGAGAAUGAUCAAGAUAAAUACUGACUCUAGACAGUAAAGUGAUCAGAAUUAGGAUCCUGAUGUGAUGUUGUUUAUACCAGGUUUAAGACAAAGUACGCUUAUACUUCUUAAAGAGGUUUCCUCCUGUCCUGUGGAACAUCUUCUCCUUGGACAAAAUUGCUUUUGCUGUGUUGAACAUGGGGGUACAUAAGGCUGCCACAUUCCAGGUUUCUUACCUGCUAUCUUCAUCCCAGGGUCAGGGGCAAACUCACAACCUGGACACUGCAAUGCUUCGAUAGUUGGGCACAAUGCAGGGACUGUGACAUCGUGGCACUCUGGUACCAGUGGAGACAUAUUUUCUCUGAUUCCUCCUACCAGAGAAUAGGAAAUCGGUCUAUUUCAGAAGAAAUACCUGUAGGCUCCAGGCUGUCUAUGGAGAGCAUUUCUGUGGAGACUUUGGCAUCCAGGGUUCAGAUAUGAAACUGAAAGAAAGGUGCCAAGACAGACUGAUGCAGAUUGACUACGCUUUACUGGCUCUUAGCAGCACUUGUCAAAAGGCAUCUUAGUUAUUGUUAGUUGAGCAAUCUCGCCCUAGGAAAGAAAAAGCUGUCGGAAGCUUCCUUGUUUAACACAAGAAUCUGUAGCUCCAAGGAGGCAGCAUGAAAGCAACCUAUUAAACACAAAUGAGGUAAGCAUAAGUAACACACUUAACACGAAGAAUGAUAAGAUAUUGCAGCCUUUUUCUUUCCAUUUCUUAGUGUGAAAACUAGCCUGAAUUUACUGCCAUAGGUAAAGAGUGCCUUUUUGUUUCUCUUCAGGCUGAUCUCUGUAAGGAAAGGCAGUAUGAAGAAGUAUGGAUGCUAACCCCAAGGGGGACCAUUUAUUCAUUUGAGGAGUUUAGUCUUAUGCUAAAUUCCACUGAUAUGCAUCGUAGGUGAACUAGGAGCUCUGCAGCACAUGUGUAUGUGGUUUGCAUGUAUACUUGCAUAAAUAAUUUAUGAUGCAUGUUAUGAAAGUAUCAAAAAUUCGACUGGCAUUUUCCAGAAGGAAAUACUGCAUAAUCCUUGCCCUGAGUAGUUUAUGUUAAUCUUAAAAAUACCCAGCCUACAUUUGUACCAGUAUGCGCUUGCAUAGUGAUGGAUAGCCAGUAAGGAACAGCAUCAUUGGCACUAUUCGGUCAGUUCUGCGGCAUUAAAGCACGGUGUGAGGAUUUAAAUGCUUUCUUUGUGUUUACCUCAUACAUAAGUUGUUACAGCAGUGACAGGUCAGGCAUAGACCCAUCCAGAUCUGCUUAAAGAUGGAUGGUCCCUGAGGCAAUGGCUGAAGUUUGUUUGCAGCAUGGACAUGGCUGUGGUUCCCCUGUCAAGUGCCCAUG